AUUUCGGAUGUGAUUAAGAAAUACCUAACUGCUAUAAAUAAACAAGCAGAUAAUAUGACACAAACAAAAGCCGGGCCUGCCAAGUCCUAACAAGUCAAGGAGAUGACGUUGUUUAUACACGCUUGAAACCACAGAGCAACGAAUGCUUCCAACCCAAAGCAAGCGUGCCAUGCCAUGCACAAACAAAACCAGAUCACCUGGGUUAAAAAGCACAGAUCUCGUCAUGAAACCCUGAAGAAUUCCUUUAUGACUUUCAUUUCCAUUGAUACUCACAAUUGGAAAUGAGUACUGAAAGUCCUAAGCUGCCUGCAGAGAGGUUUCCUGCCCUGGGAGGGAAACAUACAGGGCCUCUGGCAGCUGUGAAAGAUGUUUCACAGCAGCUGGAAGUGAAAACAAGAGCAUCAGAUCCUUGUGUGGACAGCCUAUUUCUCCAGUGACUGCUGCACUGAGCCAGAAAGCUUGUUGGGUUCCCUGCAAACGUGUCACAGAUCUAUGCAUAUGAGAAAGGUUUGUUUUCAACAGGGAACUGGACUAGUUUGCCUUCAGAGGAUCCUUCCAACUCUAAGAAUUCUAUGAUUCUAUGACACCAAGCUGUGUGGUGCUGUUGACACAUGCAAGGAACAGGAUGCCAUCCAGGGAGACCUAAACAGACUCAAGCAGUGGGACCAGGAGAACCUCACGAGGUUCAACAAAGCCCAGUGCAAGGUCUUGCACCUGGAUCACAGCAGCCCUUGAUACCAAUACAAACUGGAGGAUAUAAGGAUGAAGCACAGCCUUAACAAUAAGGAGUUGAGGUACUGGUGUACGGUAAGCUGGACAUGAGCCAAUAGUGUACCCUCGCAGCCCAGAAGGGCAACCAUAUAUUGGGCUGCAUCAAAAGAAGCAUGGCCAGCAGUUAAAGGGAAGUAACCCUGCUCCUCUACUCUGCACUGCUGAGACAUCACCUAGAGUACUGCACCCAGAUGUGGAGUUCUCAGUACAGGAGAGACAUGGAUCUGGUAGAGUGGUUGCAUAAAAAAAGAUCCAAGAGAUGGAACAUGUCUCCUACAAGGAUGGGCCGAGAGAGCUGUGGCAGUUCAGCCUGGAAAUGAGGAAGCUCCUGAAGGCCUGAAAGCAGCCUUUCAGUGUCUAAAGGGGUGCUAGAAGAAGGAAGGGGACAGACUCUUUAGCAUGGUCUGGUGUAACAGGACAAGGGGAAAUGGUUUCAAACUAUAAGAGGGAACAUACGGAAUAAGUUUUUUACAGUAAGAGUGGUUGGGCACUGGCACAGGUUGCCCAGAGAGGUGGUGAAUGCCCCAUCUCUGGAGGCAUUCAAGGUCAGGCUGGAUGGGGCUCUGAGCAACCUGGUCUAGCUGUAGGUGUCCCUGCUCACUGCAGGGGAUUAAAACUAGAUGGCCUCUAAGAGUGCCUUCCAACUCAAAUAAUUCUAUAAUUUUAUGAUUCUAUGACAAAAGGAGAAAAAAAUCCGAACAUGAAAUCUUGUGGUGAUUAAAAUAGUGAUUAGAUCUAAAAUGAAAAUUUCAGAAACUUCCUAUUCUGAGCGAAUUUAAGUUUCAGGGGUUGUCACUGUAUUGCAGCUGAAAGCACACAAGAUGUUAUAAACCCCAAACAUUCUUCAGUGAAGAGCAAAGCUAACAAAAGUAGUGUUUACUGCAGAUUUGUGUCUAUAGUAACCUCUGUUAGCCCAUUCCUUUACAUCACCAAUAUGCUAUGACCAGUUAUCUUCAUGCAUGAAGACGGGCUGGCUGCUACCAAAUGACUGUCAGACAGCUGAGGUGUAGCUGCCUUUUCCUCUGAGGCAAUGAUUAUUUCCUGUCUUCAGCUACUGAUUUUC
ensembl:lncRNA